ACGAAGCACGACGUAAAUAUUACGAUUCCUAUCUCGUGAUCUUAAAAGCUUGAUUUAAGAGGCAGAUAAUACUGUUUUAAAAGGGGGAGGGGAAAUCAUUGCAACAAAAAAGUUGGGGGAAAGAGGCAAGAAGUAAUCCAAGCGAACGGUGUGACUACUUUGUUUUAGAAAUUAGCGUCAAGUUUGGCAAGAGCACACUAUUCCCUCGGUGUCAUCAAUCGAUGCUGCCUGACCUGCUGAGUUCCUCCAGCAUUUUGUGUGCGUUGUUAAUAACACUGAAAAUGGUAUUUCAGGUGUAUUAAGGCGAUCAAAUUACAGGUGCUUUAUUGAAAAGCAAAUCAAUGCAAUAGCUGGAGAUAUAACAUAAAACUCUUCGGAAAUACUCA